rnacentral:lncRNA from 10 species
ACACGGACUGGGGUAAAGGGAUGGGAAACCCUGCAGUUGAAAGUCCAUUAUGACUUGAUGACUUGUGACCUGGGGGGUCCACAAACCAGGAGAGUUUCUACUUGAGAAGCCAGGAAGACUGGGGCUGCCACCCCAUCCUGUUCUGCCAACUGCUCUAGGAAAUUCCCCUCCUGCAGUAGCUUCCCUGCCUGGGUACCUGUCAGUAGGCAAUGUUGGGUCUCCACUCGGUGCCAGCUGCCUGCCAAGCAAAGCCUCGGGCAGCCGUACCAAAAGGGGUUUAGUCUUUUCUGUUGUACAGAUGAGGAAACUGGGGCCAGUGAGAGGAGGCUGUUGGUCCAGGCUCCACUUCAAGCUGGUGGUGGGCAGGGCUGGGAGCUCAGGCUGGGGAUCCUGAGAGCACUGGAGGCCCCCAUGGGUCCUGUAGAGCAUUCUGACCCAGUGGGUGCCACCACGAGUGGGUUAGAGGGCCCUGGGCUGAGCCAGAUAGGCUGCUAGUCACCAGCUGGGGGAGAGGGCCCUUGGCCAGGUGGGGCUGAGGUGGGAGUGUGUCCCAGUCUGUAUGAGGAGGAAGGAGUCAGGACAGACAGCACUUGCUUUUACAGAGAUGAAAUCAAAGCCCUGAGUGGCCAGGCCUGGGUCUUGAGGCUACUUGGCUGCAGGCAAAGCCUGGACUUGAGCCCAGAACUCUACACAGAGACACACUGGUUGGCCAUGUGGCCAGCAGCUGGCUUGGCCCUAAGCCUUGGUCUGUUCCACUGAGUAAUGGGUUGGUGAUGGCAGCCUGGCUCUUGGCUUCUUAGUGGGGCAAGAAAAGGCAGAGAGACAAUAGAUUUGGGAUUUUGUAGACCUGGGUUUGAACCCCACUGCAUGCUCUUGGGCUGCUUGUGGUCCUCCCUGAGCCUCAGUGUCUUUUCUUGUCUCCAAGAUGAGACUGCUCCUCCCUCCCCAUCCCCAUCUCCAUCCCAAAGACUGGAGCUGCUGGAUCUGUGGAUGGAGGCG